GUGUCAGCAGCCGCGGUAAUACAGAGGUCCCAAGCGUUGUUCGGAUUCACUGGGCGUAAAGGGUGCGUAGGUGGUUGGGUAAGUUUGAUGUGAAAUCUCCGGGCUUAACCCGGAAACUGCAUUGAAUACUAUCUGGCUAGAGGGUUGGAGGGGGGACUGGAAUACUUGGUGUAGCAGUGAAAUGCGUAGAUAUCAAGUGGAACACCAGUGGCGAAGGCGAGUCCCUGGACAACUCCUGACACUGAGGCACGAAAGCUAGGGGAGCAAACAGGAUUAGAAACCCCAGUAGUCC
rnacentral:rRNA from 1 species